rnacentral:rRNA from 1 species
GACGAACGCUGGCGGCGUGCUUAACACAUGCAAGUCGAACGAUGAAGAAAAGAAUCGAAGCUUCGGCAGAAAUUCAUUUCGGAUUGUGGGAGAAGGGUGAGGAACCCCUUGGCAACCUACCUCCUUCCAAAGGAUAAGCCCGGGGAACCGGGGUUAAUACCAAUAUACCUUUUUACGAAACCUUUCGAAGCCAUCAAAACUACGGCGGUAAGAGAUGGGCUCGCGGCCCAUUAACCGGGUGGUGAGGUAACGGCUCACCAUAGUGACGAUGGGUAACCGGCCUGAGAGGGUGAACGGUCACACUGGAACUGAGACACGGUCCAGACUCCUACGGGAGGCAGCAGUGGGGAAUAUUGCACAAUGGAGGGAACUCUGAUGCAGCGACGCCGCGUGAGUGAUGAAGGAAUUCGUUUCGUAAAACUCUGUUCUAUGGGAAGAAAAGGACUGUACCAUAGGAGAAAGCUCCGGCUAAAUACGUG